rnacentral:siRNA from 1 species
UACUACCCAUUACUUUCCGGUUC